rnacentral:lncRNA from 1 species
CCCUUUCUUUCCUUUGUGGCGACUAGAUGCCCCAUAUCAUCUUCAUGUCAACUUUUAACAAAAAAUGCAUAAAACCUGAAUAUGUCAUCCGCAUCAUGAUAACAACAUUUGAAAUGUUUGAAAUUGUUGUUUGCAUUAAAAAUUGCUAUAUGCACUUGGGGAUUUUCUGGAAUUGUUGUUGGUUGUUUUCGGCCCCUUUUAACUUGCCUAAAUAGUUAGUUUACUUAUGCUUCCCCUCUUGCCAUGUUUAACAACAUUUAAUAUUGUUGAGUAGCUUAAACGCGAGUGAACAAAAUAAUUAGAUGUGGUGUUUCCUCAGUAUGCAACUCGUUGCAUAUUGAGCCCCACUUAACUUGUAGUAUUGUUUGUCGCACUUUGCCAUGCCAUGCCUCAUUAAAAUGGACAUGCAUCAUACUUGGUUGUGCAUCAUGCUAUGUUUAUGCUUCUAUGUUUACCAUGAUGUUUGCUUCUUUCCGGUUGCGCUUCUUCGUGAUAAUUCUGGUUAAGUUGCGAUUGUGAGGAUUCGUUCGACUAUGCGGCUUCGUCUACUUCAUGGACUCGAUCUUCUUCCUAACGGGAUUUCAGGCAAGAUGACCGUCACCUUGGAUCUCACUACUAUCUUUGCUAUGCUACUUGUCACGAUGCUAUCGCUAUGUCGCGCUACCUACCACUUGUUUAUCAAGCCUCCCAAAUUGCCAUGAAACAGCCUCUAACCUUUUCACCGUCCUACAAAACCGUUGUUUGGCUAUGUUACCUCUUUGCUCAGCCCCUCUUAUAGCGUUGCUAGUUGCAGGUGCAGUUGCAGUUUGUUCCUUGUUGGGACAUGGAUGUCAUGGAUAUCUUGGGAUAUCACAAUAUCUCUUAUUUAGUUAAUGCAUCUAUAUACUUGGUAAAUGGCGGAAGGCUCGGCCUUUUGCCUGGUGUUUUGUUCCACUCUUACCGCCCUAGUUUCUGUCAUACCGGUGUUAUGUUCCUUGAUUUUGCGUCCCUAACACGAUGAGGGUUUAUGGGCCCCUUUUAACAGUUCUUUUUGAAUAAAACUCUUCCAGCAAGGCCCAACCUUGGUUUUACCAUUUGCCUAAUAACAACUAAAACUUGCAUAGGGACUUUCCGGACCCCGAGGACUUAAUUAACCCCCCGGGCCAGUGCUCCUCAUGAGUGUUGGUCCAAAAUGGCAGUAGCUGGGGCCACCAACGGGUGUCACAGCCGGAAACUUACCCAAUCCGAUCGUGGCCUGAGACGAGACACGCGCGGCUACUUUCAGGGUGUUAGCAUGUUGGGAGGUCUUGUUGGACUAGUUUUACCAUUGUCGAAAUGUAUUGUGCACCAGGAUUCUGAGUCUGAUCGGAGGGUCCGAGAUGGAGGAUUGUCUUCGUGGAUCGUGAGCUUGUCAUGGGCUAAGUUGGGACACCCCUGCAGGGUUUAAACUUUCAAGAGCGAUGCCCGUGGUUAUGUGGCAGAUGGGAAUUUGUUAAUAUCCGGUUGUAGAGAACUUGACACCAGGUCUGAAAUAAAAUACACCAACCGCGUGCGUAGCCGUGACGGUCUCUUUUCGGUUGAGUCGAGAAGAGAACACAGUUUGGGUUAUGUUUGAACGUAAGUAGUUCAGGAUCACUUCUUGAUCAUUACUAGUUCACGACCGUUCCAUUAUUUCUCAUCUUACUCUUGUACUCAUAAGUUAGCCACCAUAUAUUGCUUAGUCGCUUGCUGCAACCUCACCACUUAUCCUUUCCAUACCCAUUAAGCUUUGCUAGUCUUGAUACCCAUGGUAAUGGGAUUGCUGAGUCCUCGUGGCUCACAUAUUACAACAACAACAACGGUUGCAGGUACAGGCAAUGCGAUGAUCAUGAUGUGAGUGCGAUGCUUUCUUGUUUGGAGUUCUCCUUCUUCGAUCAAGGGAUAGGUUCCGGGUCGGGGAGCCUGGGAUUAGCAGGGUGGAUGUCGUUCUUCUUUUUAGUUUGAUUUCAUCCAUAGUCGGAUCCCGCUCUUAUGUAUGAUGAUUGCCAUGUAUUGAUGAACUGUUGUAUUGAUGUUGUAGCUUGUGGCGAGUGUAAGCCAUUAUCUUGUAUUCUCAUCUAUUCAGUACAUGGUAUGUUGUAAUGAUAUCCACCUUUCUAUGUGCUCAAAAUGCGAUUGUGCCCCAAUCAUGAAUUCAUCACAUGGUUGUGAUAGAAUCACAUCUUGGGUGCUACAAGCUGGUAUCAGAGCCUUACCGACCUUAGGAGCCCCCUUGAUUGAUCGAAC